rnacentral:rRNA from 1 species
GACGAACGCUGGCGGCGUGCUUAACACAUGCAAGUCGAACGGAAAGGCCCUGCUUUUGUUGGGUGCUCGAGUGGCGAACGGGUGAGUAACACGUGAGUAACCUGCCCUUGACUUUGGGAUAACUUCAGGAAACUGGGGCUAAUACCGGAUAGGAGCUCCUGCUGCAUGGUGGGGGUUGGAAAGUUUCGGCGGUUGGGGAUGGACGCGCGGCUUAUCAGCUUGUUGGUGGGGUAGUGGCUUACAAAGGCUUUGACGGGUACCCGGCCUGAGAGGGUGAGCGGACACAUUGGGACUGAGAUACGGCACAGACUCCUGCGGGAGGGAGCAGUGGGGAAUAUUGCACAAUGGGCGGAAGCCUGAUGCAGCAACGGCGCGUGCGGGAUGACGGCCUUCGGGUUGUAAACCGCUUGCGCCUGUGACGAAGCGUGAGUGACGGUAAUGGGUAAAGAAGCACCGGCUAACUACGUG